AUUUAAAACAAUCUGAAAUAAUUGAAAAAAAAAUAAUAAAGCCAAUUUUAAUGAUGAUAACGCCACUAACUAAACCGUAAACCCAAAUCCUAAAUCCUAAACCCAAACCGUAAACCCUAAACCCAAAUCCUAAACCCUAAACCCAAACCGUAAAUCCUAAACCCAAACCUUAUAUCUUAAACCCAAAUCAUAGACUCUAAACUCAAACCAUAUAUCCAAACC
rnacentral:lncRNA from 1 species